rnacentral:rRNA from 1 species
GAUGAAUGCUGGCGGCGUGCCUAAUACAUGCAAGUCGAGCGGUAACACUUCGGGUGACGAGCGGCGGACGGCAGAGUAACGCGUAGGAACGUACCCCAAACUGAGGGAUAACGCACCGAAAGGUGUGCUAAUACCGCAUGUGAUCUUCGGAUUAAAGCUUCGGCGGUUUGGGAACGGCCUGCGUAUGAUUAGCUUGUUGGUGAGGUAAUGGCUCACCAAGGCGACGAUCAUUAGCUGGUCUGAGAGGAUGAUCAGCCUGACUGGAACUGAGACACGGUCCAGACUCCUACGGGAGGCAGCAGUAGGGAAUUUUCCACAAUGGGCGAAAGCCUGAUGGAGCAACGCCGCGUGCAGGAUAAAGGCCUUCGGGUUGUAAACUGCUUUUGUCUGUGAAGAUUAUGACGGUAGCAGACGAAUAAGGACCGGCUAACUACGUGCCAGCCGCCGCAGUAA